AUGAACUGGAAACUUUAUUGUUUAUUUAUUUUUUAUUGCAUUUUAGGAUUUGGGUUACAUAUGAAGAACAUGCAAGAUUGUUGCAAUCCAAAUCCCCAGGAAAGCAGAGAUUUGUUUUUGUCCUUUACUACAUUUCAGCAACAGAACAGUGUCUGGCAUGUAGCAACACUUAGUGAGUAUCUGCUAAUUUUGUAGCUAUUAUGAUGGAAAGGAGUAAGAAAGUCAGCCGAAAUACGCAACUUGGAUGCUUUUGUCCUUUUAUCCUUCUAUCAUUAGGAAUUUCACCUGCAGUUCCUUUUACAGGGUAAAUGUCUAUUUCAGCUGACUUCCUUAUUCCUUGCCUCAGUUUCUAGGAAUCCAGUAGUACCUCUAACUUUUCUCUACUAGGAUCUGCUCACCUCUUGUGCACAAGACUUAAGAUACUUCAAUGAAAAUCUGUCUUCUGUGAAGCCACGUGGAUUCAUAGGACAUAUUCACCACUCCCUUGCCCUGACAAAUGCGUAAGUGCCUGUUUCCCAAAGCAGGAAACUUGGCUUGGAUGUACCAGUUGAGCAUCCAGGCAGCCAGCCAGCACACCCAUGCUGCAUGUUGACAGCAAACCUGAAU
rnacentral:lncRNA from 1 species